GAUGAACGCUGGCGGCGUGCUUAACACAUGCAAGUCGAACGAACCUUCGGGUUAGUGGCGGACGGGUGAGUAACGCGUGAGAAUCUGCCCUCAGGAGGGGGAUAACGGUUGGAAACGACCGCUAAUACCCCAUAUGCCUACUGGUGAAAUGAAUUUCGCCUGAGGAUGAGCUCGCGUCUGAUUAGCUAGUUGGUGAGGUAAUGGCUCACCAAGGCUUCGAUCAGUAGCUGGUCUGAGAGGAUGAUCAGCCACACUGGGACUGAGACACGGCCCAGACUCCUACGGGAGGCAGCAGUGGGGAAUUUUCCGCAAUGGGCGAAAGCUGACGGAGCAACGCCGCGUGAGGGACGAAGGCCUCUGGGCUGUAAACCUCUUUUCUCAAGGAAGAAGAUAUGACGGUACUUGAGGAAUAAGCCACGGCUAAUUCCGUGCCAGCAGCCGCGGUAAUACGGGAGUGGCAAGCGUUAUCCGGAAUUAUUGGGCGUAAAGCGUCCGCAGGCGGCUUUUCAAGUCUGCUGUUAAAGCGUGGAGCUUAACUCCAUCAUGGCAGUGGAAACUGAAAGGCUUGAGUAUGGUAGGGGCAGAGGGAAUUCCCGGUGUAGCGGUGAAAUGCGUAGAUAUCGGGAAGAACACCAGUGGCGAAGGCGCUCUGCUGGGCCAUUACUGACGCUCAUGGACGAAAGCCAGGGGAGCGAAAGGGAUUAGAUACCCCUGUAGUCCUGGCCGUAAACGAUGAACACUAGGUGUCGGGGGAAUCGACCCCUUCGGUGUCGUAGCUAACGCGUUAAGUGUUCCGCCUGGGGAGUACGCACGCAAGUGUGAAACUCAAAGGAAUUGACGGGGGCCCGCACAAGCGGUGGAGUAUGUGGUUUAAUUCGAUGCAACGCGAAGAACCUUACCAGGGUUUGACAUCCUGCGAACCUCUUAGAAAUUUGAGGGUGCCUUCGGGAAUGCAGUGACAGGUGGUGCAUGGCUGUCGUCAGCUCGUGUCGUGAGAUGUUGGGUUAAGUCCCGCAACGAGCGCAACCCACGUUUUUAGUUGCCAGCAUUUAGUUGGGCACUCUAGAAAGACCGCCGGUGAUAAACCGGAGGAAGGUGUGGAUGACGUCAAGUCAUCAUGCCCCUUACACCCUGGGCUACACACGUACUACAAUGCUACGGACAAAGGGCAGCAAACUCGCGAGAGCUAGCAAAUCCCAUAAACCGUGGCUCAGUUCAGAUCGUAGGCUGCAACUCGCCUACGUGAAGUAGGAAUCGCUAGUAAUCGCAGGUCAGCAUACUGCGGUGAAUACGUUCCCGGGCCUUGUACACACCGCCCGUCACACCAUGGAAGUUGGCCAUGCCCGAAGUCGUUACUCCAACCCUUGUGGAGGAGGACGCCGAAGGUGGGGCUAAUGACU
rnacentral:rRNA from 1 species